UUCCCUCCCUGUGCCCACACUGCCCACCAGGCAGGAGUUGUGUGUGGUCAGGGCUGUGGCAGAGAAAAAGGGCGGCCUUGCAAGACCCAGAUUAUGAGCCUAGAUCCACCACAUUGUGCCUAACUGACCUGGAGAAGAUUCUCACAUGCACGGGAUGGAAAUAAAAAUACAGUCCUGGCCUUCUGCACAAGGUCUUUGCCAGAAUCAAGUGAGAUCAAGAACAAGAGGAAUCUUCAUCAAGAGUCAAGUGCAAUGAAAAGGUGAGAGAAUCAUUCCUGAGCCAGUUCACCCCAAAGAGCUGACAGUCUUCAAAGGAUUGUGGGUGAUAGACGUGGGGAGCAGUUCAGGGGCCUUGGCAUCUGGCCUGUUGGCUGAUCUCCCCAGUGAGUGGCCUGCUUUGCCCUGUUGGUCAGGACAGUGUCCAGAGGACAGAAGAGGUAUGAGGGAGUAGGUGUGGACCGCCCCACGCCCAGGCAGGAGCAAUCAAUUGCCACAGUGAGGCUCAGGAGCUCCCGCUUCUCCCUGCUCCCUUCCAGUUCCAGCUGGAGGGGCCUCAUGGAUCCCAGUGAGGAUGUCAUGGAACAGAGCCCCCUGCUGACCUGAGAUGGACAUGUAGCAUGAGUGAGAAAUAAAUCUUUCUU